rnacentral:lncRNA from 1 species
CUUCCAGCCUCCGGCACCCUGAGAACUGGGUGUGAGUGCUGAUUUCUCCACCUGUCUUAUUUCUUAAUAUCUGCAACCAGCUCAGAGCCAGGGAUAAGUCAAGACUCCACCAGCCCAUGUAUGGCUGCCCGGCUGCCCCCAGCCUUGCCCUCAGUUCUUCCCCGAGGGCAUGUCCUGUUGAGAGCCGGUUUCACCUGUGCAGUGUGGCCUGAUGGCCCAGCACCCAGGAGCUCUGCGCACCCUGCCGCCAUGGGCCAUCCGUCCCCAGACCUCUUCCCACAGGGUCACUGUGGUCCACCGUCCUGCCCUCGGGGAAUCUCAGCCUCCCUCUCACAGGCCCCGCCCACAGACUCAUUCACUGAUGCCAUCGCUGGACCCAAGUCAGUCAGAUGAAGAGCAGGAUGGUGUCAGAGCCUCGACCUCGGGAAGCACAGGAUGAGAACAAUGCAGCUGCCUCCCCAGGCCGUCAACCCCAGCACGGAAAACUCACGCUGGUCCUCACUCCAGCCUGAACGCUCCUGCUGAGGCCAGCUCUGCUCUGUCCCAUUCUGUCAUCAUUAAAGAGAGAAGGGAUGGCCACAUCUACCUGGAAAAACCACUUCCUCCUCUGAACACAGCUCUCAUCUGGAGCCCCGACGUGUCAUAUUCCUCCACCUUCCUGGAGGGAGGAAGUGCCCCAGUAGGCUGACAGCUGAGCUUUAAUUCUGCUCCACAGCCAAUCCAGGUUUUCUCAAUACUAUCUCUGUGGAAAAGUGCAUAAAACAGCAAGAAUAAUUGGCAUAAAUGAGACAAAUGUAACCCAGAAGCUUAGUCCCAAAAUGCACACUGAAAGUAAAUUCAUAAAAAUAUAAAUGAAAGCAAGUUUUCUUUAUAUUUAAGUAUAACAAAGCUACCUAUUGAUAAAUGGGGCCUUCUCCACACCCAGGUCCAGGACUAUGUUCCUUGCCUUAUUUUUUCCUAUAAGGCUUACCACCUUUAAAUGAAGCAAAAACAAAUGAAUCAAUAAAUCAUAUAAUUAACUUUUAUUGUAUUUACUGCCUUCAAUCGCUAGAAUGUAAGUUCUCCUGAAUACAAGGAAUGUUCACAGUAUUGUUUAUUUGUUAUUUCCCUGGGUCCCAGAACAGUUUCUGGCAUGUAAUACAGUCUCAAAAAUAUUUGCUGAAUGAAUGAAAGUUUAUUCUAUUAAGCAAACUGUUAUCUCUGGAUGAUAAAUGUCAUGUCACUCCUCGACCUCAAAUCUUUCCAUAGAUUCCAUCACUUCCAGGACAUAGUCCGUAUUAGCGAGGCAUACGUGCCCUUCGCCAUGUGGUCCCGAGCAUCUUCCUGAGUCUUUCCUAAAUCCUACACAUCCCCCUGGAGGCCAAAAUGCCUCUCAGGCAUACCAUGGCUUCCCAUCACUGCACCUUCAUGUACACGGUUCCUCCUGCCUAGAAUGACUUGCUCCUCAUUCCCUUGCGUGACAAAUGCCUACUGACCUUUUAGCAAAAAACAAAAACAGAAAAACCCUUCGCCAAGACUGUGAAGCCUUCUCCAGUAUUCCCAUCCCCAUCCAGGAACUGAGUACCACCGCUUCCAUGUUCCCAUGGCAACCCGCGCAUCCCCCAACACAGUGCUAAUCACCUUGCUGUCAUUGCUUGUCUCUUUGCUCACCCACGUCAUUAUCUUUGCAUCCCCAGGGGCCAGCACAGUAGGUGGCUAAUAGUUGCUUCAACUUAAAUGGACUCAAAUGCGCUAAAGGGAGGGGAAAAGAGAAGUCAGUGCACUUUGGGGCUGAGUUUUGUUUCUUUCACUUGUACCUGAUAUCUGUGCUCCUGUCACAGACGUCCACACAGACACACAAGCUAAAGAAGAAGAUGGACAAGAAUCAGCACACACUUUGCUCCUCUGGUUUCACCUUGAACCAGAGGGCCCAUUAGUCGUGUAAAGCCAUUAAAUAUUACAGCUGUAUAAAUCACACAAACCAGCAUUUCUGCCUCUCUCCACUA